rnacentral:misc_RNA from 1 species
UCUCCGUAGGUGAACCUGCGGAGGGAUCAUUACUGAGUGAGGGCUUCGGUCCGACCUCCAACCCUUUUGUGAACCACCUCGUUGCUUCGGGGGCGACCCCGCCGUUUCGGCGGUGGCGCUCCCGGAGCCCAUCAAACCCUGCGUAACUAAGUCGUCGGAGUUUAAACAAAUUAAACAAAACUUUCAACAACGGAUCUCUUGGUUCGGGCAUCGAUGAAGAACGCAGC